UUUUUAUAGCUCCUAGAAUGAGAAAAUCAGCUGUGCAUCAUCUCUGUGAUUUGGGAAGGAAAUGACUGAAUAUGAUGAAGCCAGUUGAUGAAGAUAUCAAUUCAAUGGCCACCGAGUGCAGCACUGCUACCUGAACCCAUCAGUUAUCUGCUGUGAAGACUGCAUUCACAAACCGCUCUACUGCGACAGCUCAGAUGUUACGGCCCGUAAAAGUAAACAUCACAGCUAAACAACGAGAGCUAAUUGUGGGGGGAUUCUUUUGGCCCAUAUCCCCAACAAGAAUCAAUGUUAAGUCCAGUGCAACAAUUAUAAAUAAAAAUACUAUAUAUUGUUUAUUGAUUUACCAUACCCUAAAUACAUGUUUUGUCCCUCCAGGACAUCUACACCAGGUGGAGUAUGAGGAGGACCGUCAGAGACUCCCGAGCCAUGGAUUGCUCUCACCAUUAUCAUCAAGCAAACGUUAUCACAGAACCUACACCAGCAGACAGUGAGACAAGUUCCUUUCACAGGCAAUCAGACUUAACUGAACUCAUACCAGUAAAACCAUACACACCCCACCAACCUCAUAUGCCCUGCACUCUUAUCAGUAACGCUGACUGGACUCAAUAUUAUUAUGCACCCUGACAUUCUGUUUGCACUAAUUCAUACCGUGUCACACUGCAGAGAUCUGUGUGUACUGUGAUUAUUAUUGUUUUCAAUUCAUGCUCUGUGUAUAGCAUAAUUUUUUACAUAUAUUGUUCUCUACCUGUAUUGAGUCCCUUAUGUGUGUUGCAUAUACUGUAUAUUCAGAAUUUGUAUUUCAUAUAUAUUCAUUAAUUAAUUCAUUUGUCAUCCAUACUGUAACGCUGCAGUCUGCACCCAAGACUUUCACCACCUGUAUACUUGUGUUCAUUGUAUUGUGACAAUAAAGCAAUUUGAUUUAAA